AACGUAGGUGGCGAGCGUUAUCCGGAUUUACUGGGCGUAAAGCGCGUGUAGGCGGCCCGGUAAGUCCGCUGUGAAAGUCCAGGGCUCAACCCUGGGAUGCCGGUGGAUACUGUCGGGCUCGAGUCCGGAAGAGGCGAGUGGAAUUCCUGGUGUAGCGGUGAAAUGCGCAGAUAUCAGGAGGAACACCAAUGGCGAAGGCAGCUCGCUGGGACGUGACUGACGCUGAGACGCGAAAGCGUGGGGAGCAAACAGG
rnacentral:rRNA from 1 species